UUCAACUUUAUCAUGCAGAAAUAGCUCAUGUAAGUUAAGAUAUUCCUCAUUUUGUCCCUGUCUAGAACCAAGUCUAGAUAUCAUUUUUUAAUCACUCCAGCUACAGAAAAGCAGAAAACCAGAAACUUGAAGUUUCAAUUUAUAUUGAGAUUAAAAGUUUGGUGUUGUCUGGGAAAGAUGUCACACUUUGUAAUACAUUGAAAUAUUGGCUACUAGACUCCGAGGUCCAUAAACACAUUAAAUGCUUCUGAGGGAAAACGGGGAUAUUUAAAAGACUAUUUUCACAUUACAGGUGUCAGAGCUACAUUGUAUAGAAAUUUCUAUAAAGACACAAUCACAGCAGUAGGCAAAAAGCAAACCAAACUAUACAUAAGAUACAUACAGGUCCAAUAUGAAUGAAGAGCUCCUUCACAAGCCCAAAGCUGUCCCAAACACCCUUGUAGUACUACUGAGACUGAGUUGCAGCAAUAGUGAUAAUUCUUAUCGGCCCUUAUGCCCAAACCAAACCUAGGCCAAGGGAAUAACAAUGACACCUGCAUCAGAAGAAAGCUUGGAAGACUCUGGAUUGUCUGUAAGAGCCUCAAAAACAUAACACAGAACCACAGAAACACCACGUUGGAAAAGGAUCUCAAUGACUUCUGGUUCCGCUUUUCUUGGCAAAAGCACAGUCUAGACAAGACGUCCCAAAAGUCUGUCCAGAUGCAUCUUAAAAGUGUCCAGUGUUGGAGAAUCAACUGCUUGCCUGGGGAGAUUAUUCCAAUGGCUGAUUGUUCUCAUUAUAAAAAACUUCCUCCGUGGAGAGAACACAGCUCCUCACAGCAGCUGGACCAGAACACAAAACUCACAGCUCCAAGACUCAAGAAUGCCUGGAGGCUUCAGGGUAUUCAGCAUUGCAUGCAAAACCUCCCGUUUUGUUCUCUUUUAAUGAAGAGUUCUCUCCUGUAAACUUACUCAAAUCUUGUACAGUUUUGAAAGGAUGGGAAACAAAAAGGAAUAUAUUUUGCUUUUCUGAGCUCCAGUAGGAAUUACCUGGUCAGAAGAGAUGAAAAAUCAGUAAAAUGGCUAGUGCAGCCUAUCAACAUCUCAUCUCACCCAAUGGGAAAACUGGGGUUUGAUUUUUUUUGUUGCCAUAUAACAAAUUUAACAAAAUAUACCAAAUUCAGCUGACCUCACAAUUUAAAACUUACUUCCAUUUCAAAAGAGCACCAAUAAAAGAGGAUUUAACUUCCUAUGAUAUAUUUAGUUUGUCCAGAGACCACAGCACUGGUCUACAGGUGGUGGUGGAGCUGGGUGGAGGGACCCACAGAUUCUAGCUUACUCAAAGUGGCAGUAACCAAGUCACUAAACCUGUUUAUCACACCCAAAGAAGAGCUGUGGCCAAGCUUUCCUCUUCCUGCUAUCACUUCAAAAUUCUAACAAGGAAUGCACAUCAAGCACCUCCUGCAUUCUGAUUGUCUUAGAGAUACGCACAGCAGAAGGGUGGGAAACUCUCCUUUUUAAUCCUCCUAAACUGGAGAAACAUUGAAGAGAACCACUGAGCUUGUUACGAAGAGAAACUUGUGUACAACCCUACUGAUGAACACCACUGAACUCUUGAACAUUCUUGAUAAGUGGUCUUUCUCAAAAUUUGUUUUUCCUUGUCUUUUGAAUUUUGUUGAUUUCUACUACCCUGCCCAUGCUACAACACUCAGCGGGGAAGCCUCCCCUUGGGCAGCCCCUGUGCUCUGGUCAGUUUACUCCAUGGAAUUGUCCUCCACCACCAGAACAGUUUCCUGACUCCAGAUGUGGUACUGAAAGGCUGACUCCUGCACUCACUGAUUACACACCACCUCUGCAAAUACACAGAACACACACACAGCCCUACAGCGUUGUGACAUUGUAAAGGUGGUCCUCUACAUGAACCCUCAGAAUCAAGCUGGACAAACACAGCAGCACUGAAAACACAGAGAAAAGAAAGUUUGAAGUCAGAGGCACAGAUCAGAAAAAGACAAUCUGUACUCAUGUAUAAACUCUGUCCUGUCCUCACUUAGGUAACAGUCUAAAGGAAAAUGGUAUGUUCAUUUUUUAAUGGGCUGUCCAGAAAAACCUAAUUAGUGGCCAAAGACUAACUCAUGCUACCGGGAAGUUAUGGAUUAGCUUUUUUUUUUUUCCCCUCAAACAAGCUGUUGAAGAGUAACAAUUACAUACUUUAAACCCAAGGAAAUUAAAAGUCAUGUAUACUUAGUGAUGCAGACGAAGUUUAAGGGCAACUCAAUUCCUAUUGGGAUGCAUCCAAAUUCAGCAGUCUUACAUGAGUAUUUACAGAAUUUAGAGAGACAACAUCUGUACUAAUUCUGUCUGAUAUAACUGACAAUUUAGACAGCUAGUUCCUUUCUAAUGAGGCUGCUUUUUAAAGUUAUCACGUCCUCAUAGCUUGAACUAGCCUUUUUUUUCCUCUGUUGGCUAUUUUUAUGCAUCUGAAAUGCAGCAUUAAAUGCUGCUUUUUUUAUAUAAAGUUUAGUUGCUUAAAGGAGAAUGGGGGUACUGUGAGCUCUUACAGAAACAUUUUAUAAUUCAAGCUGUUAUGCUUCCAUACUAAAAAGUUAACAAGGGGAAAGCUGUAACCACAUUAUGAAUUGAGCCAUUUCAAAAUCAAAACAGGGUAGGAAAACAGUGUAUUCACAAAAUGAAUGCGAAGAUACAUCCCAAUUCAUACAGCAAACCAAAAAAAAAAAAAAAAAACCAAACUGAAAGCUUCUUAACAACAGUUAAUAGAGGAUCCAGAUGAACAUUUCUGUACUUAUUCAACAUCUACUAGAAGGGAGAAGCUAAAGACCAAUCCAGAGGAGUAUUUGCAAUGCAAUUAGGCUAGACAAGUAAGCCUGAAUGUAUGCCAGCUGCAGGGGUCUGCCCUUAAUUCACACAAUCAAAUGUCUAGUGUGUCACACAGUGUCUAGCAUCAGUAUCUCCAGUAUUAAAAGUCUCAUCAGAUAUGCACUUGUUUACUGAGUGUCUAAUCAGGGUCUGAACACAUAUCUAGCUGUACCUUCCAGCAGUCUAUAUGCCAGUCCAUCACCAUCUGUCAGUUAAAGCUCCCGCAGACAGAAAAAAAUCAAUUCUAACAAAUGUGUUCGGUGCUCAAACUAAGCUAUCAUUCACAUUUCAAUAUAAGGCUUGAAUUCCUUUUCAGUGUUCUUCAACUCUGACCCAGCUCUACCCCCUUCUUCACUGAAAAGGGCAAAGACAACAGCCCAGCAAGUGGGACAGGCAAAACAGACCUCCUUUGUUCACUUUUUCCCUUUCAGUUUUCUAUUGAGGUAAAUAACUGAAAGCUCAGUCAGUCUCCAGUAGCUCAGAAGAAAGCAAGAUAGCUAGCUUGCAACUAUCCCUUCCUGGUUAACAAACUGCAGGACAAAACUUACGGCGCAUCAUGUUAAUCUUAUUAUUAGAGAUUAACUCUUUACAAAUUCCCUUAAUAACAUAUUUAUGAGAAAGUAUUCAUAAAUGCAGAAGUUGCAAUGUCCUUAAUAUGGAACUGAACAGGCAAUGCACACACUUACUGAUUUAAAAUGCAACAAAUUAUCACUGCAGAGAAAGUAUUAACAGAAUUUUUUAAAUACUAUCAGCCCACUCAGGAAGGCAAAAUCAAAUUCAUUGCAUAUUGCCCAACACAAUACCUCCUACAUUAUUCCCUCAGCUUUCGUUACCAAGAUAUACUUUCCUCUGUAUGACUUCCCAUUUUACCAACUCUGUUCAUAAAACGUGAAGAAAUGAACAGGUCCAGUGAAAACUGAACAGCACAAUUUUACUGAACUACGUCAAUAUAAUGGAAGUUAAGUAAUCACAAUUCAAGGUGAUUUGAGACAGAUUAAUGAAACUUCAGAAUAACAGCAAUUUCUCAGGCAAAACAGAUUUAGUUUUUAGGCUGACUGAGCUAUUUGAGCUCAAUCAAAAUGCUCAAAAAAUGCCAAACCCUUAGUGUAUUCAAUAUCUUUUAUGUCCUGAUACCAUGGCGAGUCAUUUCGCUAAAGCAGGAAGACUAGACAACAGACAUUACUUGACUUGAAAUAGGAAUCCUCAAAAUAAUAAAAUCUGACAAUGAGAGAGACAUCUUAUUAACCCCAAGAAACUCUCAACUUGGUUACUAAAGCUUCAGCUGUCACCUUUUUGAGCACCAAAGAGAAACAUCACAGUGCAACAAGCUAGCAGGAGGUAUCAGUGUGCAUAACUGGAUUUAUUUCAUUUUCUUAAAAUAAAAACCAUUAAAAAUAGCCAAAUUUCCUUAUUACAGCCCUUUUUGUCAAACAAGCUGUGGCAUACAUGAUAAAUAAUAUGCUUUCCCCAAGAAGAUAUGGAACAGUAUCUAAGGCUCAGAUUCUGGAGAUCUCAUUCACCUUGAACAUCAUUACUUUUGAAUAAUUCUAUUGUGGCCAGUAAUGCUAAUGACAGAACUAAGACAUUAUUAUGAGUAUGAUUAGUUGUGGAUUUAUCUGUGAGCUGUGAAGAAGGUUUUAGCUCCAUCCUUAGCACCAGCUGGUAUACACUACUCCACCAUCCGACGUGGUCACACAACUGCACACUUUGCCUUUAGCUACACUGCCUUUGCACAGCCCAGAACGUGAAUCCGUUCAAUGGAUCCCAAGCUCUGCCACCACCAAACAGCCUUCUGGGUUUGCUUCUUUACAUUCAGUAUUCUCAGAAUGUAACACUUUCCCAGUUCUAUACUGAUAUAGUCUGACAGCUAAUUUUAGACACACAAGAGAAUUUCAAAGUACUUUGAAAUUCAAAUAAGUAACUUUCACAGACUUCGGCAUCACACUCAUUAGAAGCUCUGGCCACUUGCAUUGCAUUUUCUAUUCAAAACUAAAGAAAUGCCUGAGGUGUAUUCACAGAAAUUAUAACAUCAAACAUAUUAGACAAAUAUUAAAAAGAUGCUGCACCUGCAAGUCAGUUUUCUGAUUUCCAGGUCCUUUGAGCUGUGUAACACUGAACUAUCCUUCUCUUUCCGGCUGAUAUCUUUUGCCAAAGAACAGCAGCGAGACGGCUUCUUGGCAUAUAAGCUGCUCUCAAACUCAAAAGACAGUCCAGAUGCUUUCUGAUGUCAUACGGUGACCUGUUUUAUGCACAGACCCGUACAACUACUACCCAUAAAUUAUCAUAUCUAUUAUAUUAAAUUAUGGGAAAUGUCAAAAUUAUUAAUAGUGCACCUAUUAGAUCCGAUAGGAUUUUCAGGUUUCAUCUACCUUCUCCACAAUAUACUUAAUUAAGAAUCAAAAUCAGACAUAGAGAAAGAAAUGCACAAAGACAGGGAACAUUAGAAAAAAGAAAUCCAGGUGUUUAACACUGGCUUUUUCUCUCAGGAGGAGGUUGUUUUGAAUAAACACACAAAAGCUGGACCUUUAUGGAUAAAAGAACAUUUUGUCAUGAUCUGUAGAUUUCACUGCAGAGCUAUAUAUCACAUUUUCCAUUGUUUUAUGCAACUACACAGAGAGCUAAGUAAUAGCAUUCUUUUCACAGAGUACUUGUCAAUAUGGAACAGCCUUAUUGACUGGGCUGAAGCACACUAUGAUCUUAAAUAUUUAAACAGCUUGGCAAUAUUAAUCAGGUACUGUUUACACUUAGACUCCAAAGCCUUGGUUUAAACACAUUUCAGACUUCAAAACUAACACAUCUAUGCUGAAGACCUCAGCGACAGCUGAAGGUUUGGUUAAUUAUUAGUUUAUAACCAAAGAGACAAGUGCACUCGGUGCACAGACUUCACCAGGAUAUUCUGCAUUAAUCGCCUUCAAGAAGCCAAAAUAGGGAAAACACGAAAAGCCCGCAAUUCAGACACACUGUAGCUAUUUUAUACCUAAAUAAAACCGCAACUGUGAGGAGCGGGGAAAGAAAAAAGAAAAGUACGGGUGAUAAAAAAAGGCGCAAGAGGCGAAGCGCCGACCGCGGCAGUUCAGCACCGACAGCUCCUUCCCCCGCACACGCCCGGCCCUCGCCCCGCCGGCCAGAGCACGAAAUGGCGACCGAGCCCGCCCGGGGGUGUGGGCGCGCCGCAGCCGCGGAGCGUCCCCGCCCGGCCCGGGAGGUGCCACCGGCCGCCGCCGCAACAAAGCCCCGCAGCGGCCGCUGGUGCCUCCUCGCCCGCCCCUCGGAGGAGCCCGGCACCCACGGAGGACGGGCGGCUCCUCGCCGUCGAGGCGGCGGUGCGGGGGGAUGGAUGUAAUACCGGCGGUGCGGGGAGGAUGGAUGUGACACCGGCGGGGGCGAGGAUGUGACACUGACGGUGCGGGGAGGAUGGAUGUGAUACCGGCGGUGCUGGGGGGAUGGAUGUGAUACCGGCGGUGUGGGGGGAUGUCACACCGGCGGUGCGAGGAGGAAGGAUGUGACACCGGCGCGACGGCGGGCGCGGCAGCUCACUCUGCGUGAUGCGCGGCGCGGUGACAGGGACAGCCAGUCUCAGAAUCAUCAGCCAGAAGGGGAAGAGUGACAUCUGCACUCAUUAACUGAUUACAGAAGGAGAUGAAGGCACACAGAACCAUGAAGUAGGAAGAAAAGAAAUGGGACUGACAGAGGUGAGAUAUCAAAGACAUCUACUGAUUUGCAUCACUUUCAUCUAUUUCUGAAAUGUCUGUAUUAAGUAUUUUUCCCAAACCCCGGAUGCUAAGAUUAAAAAAAUGCAUAAGCAAUAUCCUCUGCUUAAUUAUAGGAACCGUCAAACUGAAUAACUAUCUCAUCACAUCCUCUUUUUUAUGAAGGCCAGAAACUGAUACUCCAUACUUUGGAACUCCAAAGGAUUUCCAAAGAAAUCCUUUCAACUACUGUGCAACUUCAGACAUUACAGUCUAAGGACAAAAGUUUAUUAUCAACUCCACAUUUAGUGGAGUUUAGUUUAGUUCUGUUGCUACCAUUAAUACCGUAACUGCAUAUUAAAUAAAUGUAUUUGUCUCACUGUUUAAUUUUGUUUUAUGAAGUCACAGCAGAAGUAAAUCCACAGUUUAUUCACGUAUUGUGUUAAAAAAUAAAACCUUCUAAUUUUAUUGAAUAGACCCCUGUUAUCAAAGAAAAGAAGAAACUGGUAAUUCUCGAGAUGCCUUACUAUCUCAAAUUACCACUUUAACUCAUUUGCUUUCGUUAAUGAUAAAGACUCUUAAUGUGUGUUGUCUUUAGGCCACUGUUUACUUUUUUCCCAAUCUUGCAACAGAAAUAUUCUCUAAAAUGGGGAAACAAGGACUGUAAAUAAUAUUUUAAAUGAAACUGUAUUGUAAAUUAAUAUAAUGGCAUUAUAGUAUUUUAUGUAUUUUCAAUCCAAACUGUCACACACUGAAUCAUCUUGUCUGACCACAAGCAUGCAGAUGUUUCAAUAAACCGUCUGUGACAACCUAAA